AUUGAACGCUGGCGGCAGGCUUAACACAUGCAAGUCGAACGGAACCUUCGGGUUUAGUGGCGAACGGGUGAGUAAUGUAUCGGAACGUACCAUUGAGUGGGGGAUAACGUAGCGAAAGUUACGCUAAUACCGCAUAUUCUCUCCGGAGGAAAGCAGGGGACCGCAAGGCCUUGCGCUCUUUGAGCGGCCGAUAUCAGAUUAGCUAGUUGGUGAGGUAAAGGCUCACCAAGGCGACGAUCUGUAGCGGGUCUGAGAGGAUGAUCCGCCACACUGGAACUGAGACACGGUCCAGACUCCUACGGGAGGCAGCAGUGGGGAAUUUUGGACAAUGGGGGCAACCCUGAUCCAGCCAUGCCGCGUGAGUGAAGAAGGCCUGGUGUAAGACUCUUCGUCGGACGGAAAUACGCAUGGUUAAGU
rnacentral:rRNA from 1 species